rnacentral:rRNA from 1 species
GAUGAACGCUGGCGGCGUGCCUAAUACAUGCAAGUCGAGCGAACAGACGAGGAGCUUGCUCCUCUGACGUUAGCGGCGGACGGGUGAGUAACACGUGGAUAACCUACCUAUAAGACUGGGAUAACUUCGGGAAACCGGAGCUAAUACCGGAUAAUAUAUUGAACCGCAUGGUUCAAUAGUGAAAGACGGUUUUGCUGUCACUUAUAGAUGGAUCCGCGCCGCAUUAGCUAGUUGGUAAGGUAACGGCUUACCAAGGCAACGAUGCGUAGCCGACCUGAGAGGGUGAUCUGCCACACUGGAACUGAGACACGGUCCAGACUCCGACGGGAGGCAGCAGUAGGGAAUCUUCCGCAAUGGGCGAAAGCCUGACGGAGCAACGCCGCGUGAGUGAUGAAGGUCUUCGGAUCGUAAAACUCUGUUAUUAGGGAAGAACAACUGUGUAAGUAACUAUGCACGUCUUGACGGUACCUAAUCAGAAAGCCACGGCUAACUACGUG